ensembl:lncRNA
CUCCCUUCUCCUAUUUAUAUCCACCUAAGUUCCCUGGUAAAGAAUCCAACUGCAAUGCAGAACUGGGUCAGGAAGAUCUGCUGAAGAAGGGAUAGGCUACCCACUCCAGUAUUCUUGGGCUUCCCUGGAGGCUCAGACGGUUUAUAGCCGAAGAUGCUGGCUCCCAGCAUGGUGAAAACUCAUAUUUUCACAGUGUGUGCUAAGAUCUACCAGACCUCUUUUCUCCUAAUCAUGGCUGGGUUAUUAUCCAGGGCCCUGCUUCUGUGCACCACCUCAGAGGUGAGGCUAUGGUUUUUCCAGUAGCCAUGUAUGGAUGUGAGAGUUGGACUGUGAAGAAGGCUGAGCACCAAAGAAUUGAUGCUUUUGAACUGUGGUGUUGGAGAAGACUCUUGAGAGUCCCUUGGACUGCAAGGAGAUCCAACCAGUCCAUUCUGAAGGAGAUCAGCCCUAGGAUUUCUUUGGAAGGAAUCACGCUAAAGCUGAAGCUCCGGUACUUUGUCCACCUCAUGCAAAGAUUUGACUCAUUGGAAAAGACUCUGAUGCUGGUAGGGAUUGGGGACAG